rnacentral:tRNA from 1 species
GCCUGGGUGGCUCAGUCGGUUGGGCGUCAGACUUCUGCUCAGGUCAUGAUCUCAUGGUUGGUGAGUUCCAGCCCCGCCUCAGGCU